rnacentral:tRNA from 1 species
GGGGUCAUAGCAUAACCUGGCAGUGCAGCUGGCUCCAGACCAGCUGAUCAGGGUUCAAAUCCCUGUGACCCCA